rnacentral:lncRNA from 1 species
UUGUGUCAUCUAAGUCAACUGGCCAAAGAAGGAGGCAUGAAUUCUAAGAGGGCGAUGUGCGGGGCUCAAGGUGUCACACAUGUUGUCUAAUUCUACAGCACAGUAUGCUACUCUAUCCGCUCAGACAGCAUGCUAAUGAGCAUGCACGGUGUGGUCCGCGUCGCAGGCCAUCUUGUGCCGUCGUGUCGCACAAGUGCGCGCAGAGCCACGCGCAUGAUGCUAAGUGUCUAUGCACGGGAUCUAUGCGCUAGGUGAGUACCAAGCAGCAUGCUUGACGUGUGCAUCUGCGCGUAGGAUUCACGUGCAGAUUGGGCGGGUCAUGGGCAUCCUGGUCCAUGGGACGUGCACCUACGUUCACAUCCUGCGAGCAGUUCUGCGUGGGCAUGCGAGCGUCUCAUACGGUCGUGCUUUCCUGCAGCAUCAACCUCUCCCCUUUUUUUUUCUCCUUUUUUUUAACGUCUUUCAUAACAUAAAAUAAAUUA